rnacentral:rRNA from 1 species
CGCCAGACUCCUACGGGAGGCAGCAGUGGGGGAUAUUGGACAAUGGGGGGAACCCUGAUCCAGCGACGCCGCGUGAGUGAAGAAGUAUCUCGGUAUGUAAAGCUCUAUCAGCAGGGAAGAAAAUGACGGUACCUGAUUAAGAAGCCCCGGCUAACUACGUGCCAGCAGCCGCGGUAAUACGUAGGGGGCAAGCGUUAUCCGGAUUUACUGGGUGUAAAGGGAGCGCAGGCGGCUUUGCAAGUCUGAUGUGAAAGGCCGGGGCUCAACCCCGGGACUGCAUUGGAAACUGUAAAGCUAGAGUGCCGGAGAGGUAAGCGGAAUUCCUAGUGUAGCGGUGAAAUGCGUAGAUAUUAGGAGGAACACCAGUGGCGAAGGCGGCUUACUGGACGGCAACUGACGCUGAGGCUCGAAAGCGUGGGGAGCAAACAGGAUUAGAUACCCGGGUA